AGGAAAGGACACUGGGCAAGUGCAGGAUUUUGACAGAGCUCUCUACAGAGAUGUCAGUGAGGACCUCGUCUCCUCUUAAAGAAUUCUCACUCUGAGAGAUUCCUGCAGUCCUCCCAGAGUCUUUUCCUGAAUGUGGUCUUCAGUCACACAAACCAUCACUGCAGGCCCAUUUUGAAGAAGAUUGCAUCUAGCAGCCGAAAGGAAGCUAGGUUUGCUGGAGAGGCCACAGAAGAUGACAAAGUGAGCCACAUGAGGACUCCAUGUCACUAAUGCUCCUAACACAGUGUUACCCAUUAGGUCCCCUGCCUCAACCACACAUCUCAAGGAAAGGUUUCUCACUUAAACCCAGAGUUCAACAAUUUGGCUAGUGGAGCCAGCCAUCCUUUCUUGGGGGCUCCCUUACCUGAGAACCAGAAUUGCAGGCCACAUCCUGAGGACUCACAGCAAAUUGAGGAUAUUUUCUCCAGAUGCUUUGAAGACACCUACUUUACCAAAAGCCCAGCUUUACUAUGGAGCAACUGUGGAGGUUUUGUUUUCUCUGGUGAUUUGAGAUCAACUGGGAGCUGUGUCUCACUGUCCAGCAUCUCCAGAAAGCUGUACUGCAUGUUCCUAGCCCAGGAAAUGGUCAAAAUUCAGAAUCUGAAGUAUGACUUCUAUUAGAUAUGCAUCACCUUUGUGCCACAGGGAUGUAAACAGAUGUUGAGCAAGUUUUGAGCAUUUUAAGAGUUGCAGCCCUGCUCUGUCUUUGAGAUGAAACAACAAAGAAGCCACAGAACUCCCCCAAUUCCGUGCCUGCUUCCUGGUUCUAGGUUCUUAAGUCCUCACUGGGGAGACAGACCACAGACAAGAAUUCCAAGACCUGUGGAAACUACAUUAGCAAGAUGGAAGCAGGAGUCUGGGACAGCUGUAGUAGCCAGGAAGGCUUUGUGAGUUCGGAGUCCUGUGUUGUUUAUCUGCCAUCUCUAAUGCCUACCAAGUGCUUGGGACACAGUGGAUCACAAUAAAGACUUGCUGGAUAGCUAA